CCCCCUUAUCUGUUGGCAAGGAGGGACCUGACUUGGUUUCAAGCAGGAAGAACUGGAGCAGAGGUGUGGAAAGGCUGAGGGAGAAGAGCUCAGCUUGGCACAGGGAGAGAUGGAUGUCUUGGUGUGUUUCUGGUUUUACCCUCACUUGUACAGCCAGUAUUUGGGCACAUGGAAUAUUGAUGUCAGCGAGGUGGGCAAGAGUCCCUGGUUAUUCCACCUUCUGGGACCUUGUCUGGGAGGUCUCCAGGCCUGGGAUGGCAGGAGGAGAGGUCCCCUGGGUCUGUGCUCUGUGUAACUUCUCACUCCCUGGGUCAAUUUGGGAGCAGCGUGUGCAUCGCUGGCUCCGAGGUGGAGGCAGGAGAGAAGGGAAUAUGGAGAAGAGCAGCUAAAUUGCUUCAACUCCCAGAGGCUUUGUUUGUGGCCACAGGAUGCAGCUGACAAUUUGCAAGGUGCUAAUUUUGGGUUUGGUACUUCCCAGCCCCAGAGGUGGCCUCUCCCCAGGGUGCGUGCAUGAGGGAGAACCUGCGUGUGAGGGAGGUUUCUGACCAUGGGGAAAGGUGGAAAGUCUUGGGAAGGACCAGAAGGAGAGAAGUUAUGGUGUCAGGGCAUUUGGUAAGCCAUAGCCUGUGUUCAGUCCCCGUGAUCCAGCCCUUUUUUUUUGCUUUCUGGUUGGCAUAACAGUGGACUCGAGUCGCAUUCCCAUUUCACUGUGUUUGAAUUUGGUUUUGGUGUGGUGGUGAAGGUUUGUAUGGAGAGGGAGAGCCACAGUGAGUGGAGAAGAGGAGAAAAAGGAUGAGCUUUCUUUCUCCUUGGAAGUACAAAUGGAUGGAGCGGUAUUUCUGAACAAACAAGUCUCUCAUCCCUAUCUCCUGGAAGCUGCAUUAUCAGAGCACCAUCACUGUCCUCUCUUCUCCUUCCUACCCCCCCCCACCAUGAGCAGGAAUUAAAAAUACAACUAAUAAAACCCUUUUACUUUCUCCAGCAGGAGAAAAAAAAAAAAGAAAGCAAAGCAGCCUUGAAAAUGCUAAAGGACAUAAAGGGCAUUCAUGAAAGGGUUGGAUGGUGGUUAUUGCAGCAGGGGGAAAAACAUUAUUUCACUGUGCAGAUAAAAGGAAGUGGAAAAGCAGCAUAUUUAUAGCUGGGGAGCCUGGAUUCCUUGUUAAGCUGCUAUUAUCAAAUUAAUGUCAAAAUGCAUCAAACAGGCACGAGUGUUCUGGGCCCCUUAUGCAAAGUGCUUGCAAAUUGGUUACAAAUACAUUUGUUUACAGGGGACGAGGCAGGAGCGAGCUAAUUAGUCAUUGUAGCAGGGCUGUUUUCUGUCCUUUUUUUUCUAUUUUUUUUAACAUUUUUUUGGCAAUUACACAAACAAGCUGUUUUGAAGUAUAAAUACGUGCUGCAUUACAGCCCCUUUUAAAGGGAAUCAAAUAGGAAUUGUGGAUGCAGAGGGCUUGACGUGAGCAUUGUUGCCUCUCCUCCCUGGACACUGCAGCCCGUGCUGGGCACUCGGCUCCGGGAUGUGAUGUGGAAACCCACAGGAGAGCAUCAGCAGGGUGAGGUGUGGGUGGAAAGGGAACAGCUUGUGGUUUUGAUAAUGCCUCAUAGGGGGCACAGUGUCAGGAUGGGGGUGGCUGUAGCUGCUCCAGCUUGCUGAGCACUUUGGAUGCUGUGAGGCUGCAGCCACAUCCCGUGCUGGGGAUUGGCCGCUUGGAUAUGGGAUCUGUGGAGGUUUCAGUCGCCCACCAGUAUUGUGGGAAUUCCCUUUGGGUUUGGGAUAUUUUGAGGUGCUUUGGCUAUAAGCAGCAUCUGCCAGCUCAGGGUAUGAAGCACUUUGUGCCCAGCUACUUGGUACCAGCAUCGUUUUGGGGAAUGCUUGGACAUACAGAGCCUCCCAUGGUUGGGCGACAGCAUCCACUCAAUGUGAAGAAAGGAGUCUGGUGUUCCCCCAGGUGAACGUGUCUUCGGGGCUUCUUUAACCAAACCACAGGCUGUGCCUCCCAAACCUGUUAAUGAGGAAGGGAAGCAGGAAAUCUUAUCUGAUCUUCAGUGUGGGAAUGGUUGGGGAAUUUGGUUGGGGGGCAGAUGGAAACUUCCCGCUGCCCUGCAUCUUAAUGCAUCCCGUUCUGGGAUUAAAUCACACCUCUGCCACUCGGGGGAAGCUGCUAAUUGAAUCUGUUCUGAUGGGAGAGAGGAUGAAGCCAAGAGGCAUUUACUACCAUUAGUAUUAUUUUUAAUUUACUAAGAAAGAGAAAGGAGAGAGGAAGGAACACACUGUUGCCCCUCUCGUGCUGGAGGCCCCGAUGUUUCUUGGCAGAAGGUGCAAACAGCCCCGUGGCUGCUUCUGCAUUUGGAUUUGUUUGUGGUAAAUCUGCCCUUCAGGCUGGAAUAACCCUUCUGAGUAGGUCCUGUGCUACCAGAGGUGCUGGGAACAUUGAGUUUAAUGCCAUCAUAAAACCCUGCUGUGGUUUCCAUUCCCCCAGGGGGGGCAGUGACCGUGCAGGAUGGUCGUGCUCAGCACGGCUUUCAUGCCAGCAAAGCCUGGGGUGCUUCAGGUGCUGCCGUGGAUGGAGCUGGAUGGCCUCCUGGGGUCCCUCUGGGAUCAGAGCUUUCCUCCCAGAAGCCCAUGGCUUGGUGCAGUAAAGGGACAUGAGCCCGGCUGAGCUCCCCAAGCCCUGUUCAUGAGGGUAGUUGAUGACGAAGAGAUAUUUUGUGUCUCCAGCCUCCCAGCUCUCCCAUGGUUUGCAGAUGUUGGGUGUAGCACAUCACUAAGCUCAUCUGGGUGGGAACAGCACAGAAGAAAAUCUUGGAGGACCAAGAGCAGUAGGAGAGGGAAGGGCUUUCCCUCGCCUUCUGCAGGAUCUCUGAUGUUUGCUCCAGGUUUUAUUCUUGUAAAACUCAGGGUAUCAUUUCUCUGCGCCUUGGACCUGAUUUUCAGCGCUACCUUCAAACUCCAAACCUCUCGUUACCAUUUCUUGUCCCGUUGACUUUGGCGGGCUCAUUGACCCACUCCAUUGGGAUCAGGGUGCAUGAUUUUGAGGAAUGUUCCCAUUUCCAGCGUAAUCCUACCCCUGCCCUACGAGCUCUGCAGGAGCACAGCUCAGCUGGUCAGCAAAUGUGUGAGCAGCCCAUUGCAAUCAGGCUUUAACUCACGCCCAGUUGUUCCAAUCAGAACGUGUCUCUCUUCAUUUACAGCAGGGCUCUGGCUCCGGUUUGACUGUCACCUCUGAUGAUUGUUGGUGACCGUGGCAUGGGAAUGGAUCCUGCUGUGGUUUGAGCUGUGGGUGUUUCAUGCUUCCUUUUCUUGUGCAGGAGUGUGCCAGCAUCUCUUUGCUGUGAUGGUCAGAAGCAGACCUCCAGUUCCCACCCUCUGUAAGUCACACUGCUUUGUACCCUUUCCCUUGGAGAAGGCUGUGGAGUUCAAUGGUUUUGCCUUGGUGGGAUGGGACAGUGGGGCACAGACCUGGGCUUGAUUUUCUUCUGCACUGUUAAUUAGUGUAGUGAAGGCACAGCCUUUCUUGGAGUGACCAUCAGGAUUGUGUGUGGCAGUGACUUCCAGCUUCCUGGUGACCUCUUCAGUUUCCAAAUGUGCCUGAAGCACACAAGGACCUUCCGUGGUAUGUCCUUGGACAUGUUUCUCAAUGGCCUCCUCUUCCAUGUCCAGAGGGGAUGGACACACUGCCCUUCAGUUCUGGCUUCAGUACCCCCCAGGACAGGAGGUUUCUGUAGGAUUGAGGUGUCCAAGAUUUCUUAAACUCUUGCAACAAAGAGCAAAACAUUGCAGUUGUCCAGUCCUCGUGCUUGCUGAGCAAAUGGGAGAGGAUGAAGAGGUUCCCUCCAGGCUGAGGGACAGGAAUUGGGUCUUGGCCAUAGUCCACUCAAGUGGCAGGAAGGGUGUGGAAAUGCAGGAACAGACACAGCUCCAGGGAGGGCUGAGGACUCACAUGCAGUGCUUGGGGAUGUGCUGAGGGUUUGCUUGGCUCUGUUCACAGCCCAGAGCUGGUGGUUCCUGUAUGGGAGCCAUGGAGGUGGUGAUUGCCCCAAGUGUGGGAGCAGAACUCAGCAGGGGCAGGGAAGGCGCUGCCCGGUCGAUAAGGCUGCGGGCGCUGCUGGCAGUUAAUGGUAACCCAGCAUCCUCUUCCUCCCCCCAGGAAUCCCACGUGGGCAGCACGAGGGCUGAGCCGGGUUGGGGAGCGAUGUGGCCUCUCCUGAUAAGCAGCUCCAGUUCCUGCUCCUGCAGAUUUACAACCGGGGAAUGGGGAGCUCCUGCCACACGAAGGCACCUGGGCAGCCUUAGCGGGGAGGAGGAAACUUUUCUGGACUUCUGAGCCCUGGGGUCAUUCCCUGUGCCCAAACCUCUGCCUGUGUCUCCCCUCCUUCCAUGGACACUUGGCUGCCAGGCUGCAGCAUAUAAUAAAUGGCUCCCUCAUCAAAUUUGGGUGAAAUACUGUGAAUUAACUCACCAAGACUCUUUGUCCAGGCUGUCCCAGCUGAAAUGGAGACAGCUGCAGGCUGAGGAUCACUUGACCAUCCCAGGAGCUGACAGGGGCCAGGUGAGGAUGAGGAGCAAGAAGUAGAGGAAGGCAGCACUUGUUGCCCAUGAGUGAGUCCCUUCCAGGCAGUGGGAGAACCCUCCUGUGGGCUUCAUCUUCCUGGCAGCCCAGAAAGCAGCUGGUGUGCUUCUGGUGUCUCCCUCUUUCCCUUACGCUUCCCCAUGGGACCGUGCCUCCGAGUCAGCACCUCCUGAGGUGAUCUCUUUUUUUUCUUUCUUUUUUAGAAAAUAAUUUUAAAUGCAUGACUGGCAAUUCAAGAGAAAACAGGAGGAAUGGUUGUUAUUGCUGAGGAUCUCAGCCCAGCCGGAGGAGACGUGUUCCUUUUGUGGAAUCAAACAUCCGUCAGGGAUCCGUCAUGCAAAUUUAUUUCACUUUUCUUCUUUUUUACCUAUUCCAUUGAUCCAGAGCCUGUAGCAGUUGGCUCAUGGAGAGAGAGGUUUUUUAAUUCAGGAGCCUCAGUCGGUGAGGAUGGGAAUUUGCCAAAGCUCCUGGCUCAGGGGGGUGCUUUGUGCCAUGCAUGGGGACUGUGGCACUGUGGGCUGGGACACAUCCCUCCAAAGGAGAGGGGAGAGGUAUUUGCUGUGUCCCCUGGGCAUUGUGUGUGCCUGGAGUGACUUGGAAAGGCAGGAGAGUAGCUGCCAGCUCUGCCAAAGCUGCUUCCCACCAUGGGAAGGGACAAGGACACUUGGUCAUGCUGCUGGGACAGUCACUGCCAGCCCUGAGGGGUAAAUGUGAGUUAAACCCUUAAAAUCACAAGACGGUCAUAAAAAUAUCCAACUAUGAAAUUAUAUUUUAUUUUAUUAUUAUUAUUAGACUCUUCAGUGCGUCUGGGUGUUUUCAGGAGUGACCUGACAAAUUUCUCUCUGCAGCUGGGAGGUUCAGGGUCCUGUCACUUCCAACGGCAUCUUCAUGUUGAAGAGAGAUGAUUCCAGCCCGACUGCUGGCUGAGGAUCCGUGGCUGUGUCUUGGGGAAGGUGCCAGGCUGCCUUGCACAGUCUGAGUCUUCAAAGAAUCCCAGAAUGGUUUGGGUUGGAAGGGACCGUAAAGAUCACCUUGUUCCAACCCCCUGCCAUGGGCAGGGACACCUUCCACUAGACCAGGUUACUCAAAGCCCCGUCCAACCUGGUCUUGAGUCUUCUCCUUCAUCAGUCUCUUCUGCUGGGCAUGAAGAGCAGAUGGAGCUGCCUGGGCAAGGGCCAGAAGCUGGUGCUUUCACUGCUGUGGAGAAUCUUCUGUUCUGGAAGGAAGAGCCAAACCCCUCCAGGAACCGGAGCACAUCCAGCGGUCGGAGCCUGAGAAGCCUCACUCUCUGUGACAUUCUCCGUGUCCCUGCAAUGCUGUUCCUCCUCUGUUCUGCUGGAAGCACUGCUUUGUCCUUCAAGAAAAUUUCUUUUUUGCUUGACUUGAGUAUUUUUAUUUUUUCCCCCCCCCAAACCCCAUCUCUGUGUGUCUUUGCAGGUGUUCACUGUGGGAUGCAGAGGCCAAGCCCUCAGCUGAUGACUCCGGAUGAGUUAAGACACGUGUGGAUGUCCCCACCACGUGGGCUUGUGUGGCUGCAGAGGAGCCGCUGAGCAUCCCUGCUGCCGGGAGAACCAGGGAGAUUCCUCAUUAAAACAAUUUGGGAGACGUUCAUCCGAACAGAAAUCUGAAUUUAUUCUGCUCGCGCUGCCUCUCCUCCGUCUCCUCUUCCUCAGGCAGCGGAAUUUGCUGGUAUCACCUCCUUUCCCCGGGCUUCUCCUCAGCCCCAGCAAUGACUUGUCUGAAUAAUUCAACUGAAAAUUCAGGAUCGCAAGUAAAUACGGGAUAAUUGCUAACAGCUCCCAGGCAAUCCGCUGCCAGAGGGCGGCUAAACUCCCGGUGAAUUAUUUAUCUGCUGUGAAUUAUUUGCCUGGCCCUGCUACGGAAGAAAAGCUCCUUCCCAACCUUUACCUGACAAAUGGCCUGGCUGGGGGCGACUCUCCAGGUGCUGACUCAGCCCUUUCGCAGCUCCCUGCCUGCUCCUGCUGCCUGCAGCUCCCGCUGCCGGGUGCCUGGGUCGGCGCGUGGCCCUGGGGAGGUGAAGUCCCGGAUGGGGACUGGAGCCACCUCCUCCUGCAGGCAAGGUUUUUCAGCUCUUUGGUCUCUUCAGAAGCAUGGAGACCACCCCCUGGGACUCCUCCCGAGGGAACAUGGGGGCUGGGGGGUGCUGCCCCUCUCCUCUAGCUGCGGUGAUCUGGGGGCUUUCCCAGGAGCUAGCAGUGAGGGAUGUGGUGUUGAGGUGUCUGAACAGGAGCUGGAGAGGAUCAGGGUGGGCUCGGGGCUGGAAACACGGAGCCCCAGCUGGAGGCUCCGGGCUCAGUGUGGGAGCGGGUCCUGCUUGGGGGUGGGGGCUGUACAAGGCCAGAGGGGCUGUGGCCAGCCUGGGCUGGGAGGUCCCCAAAAGGGAGCCCAGCAGAUGUCACUGUGGCCUGGACCUGCUACCUUCUGGGGACCUGCCAGGGGUGGGGUGGGAUGGGAUGGAAUGGGACCCUUCCUCACCUGCAAGCCCCCAGGAAGGGCUUAGGUUGCACCCCACGUGUUGCUGUUUAAGGGGAUGCUCCUGCCUUGCAACCCUGAGAGGACCUGGGAGAAGGUCCAGGAGGACCUGGCAAAGGGGGUGACAUCCCCUGCCUGUGCCGUGACAGCAGGCUGCCCCCCCCAGAUGUGCUGUCCCUCUGUAAGCCCCUUUCCCUACUCGCCCACAGCCCAGUGGACCAGAAGCAUCCCUCCUGUCCCCUCGGGUCCCCAGGGUCCUUCAGCCAAACCCAGGUGUCCCUUUGGAGGGCCCUUGAGCAUUGCCAACACUUCCUUGGUGCCCAAGGCUUUGUGACCUGUAGGGGCUGUUCUCCUGGUUGGGGUUCCAGGAUAUGAGCCUUGCUCUCUCCAGGCCAGGUAACAGACACCAAGCAGAAACCUGCUGUGUCCCUUCCCUGGGGGACAAGGCAAAUGGGCUCCUUCCUCCUCCUCUUCCUCCCCAGCAUGAGGGCUGGUGUCCUCUGAACCCUUUGCUGCCCUCUGAGGGAGAAGUGCUGACUCCAGAUGUUUCCCUAAAUGAGAACCUUCUGCAAACAGUGCUGGAUUAGAUUUUAAUUUUGGGAAGAAAUUCUUCCCUGUGAGGGUAGUGAGCCACUGGCACAGGUUGCCCAGAGAAGCUGUGGCUGCCCCAUCCCUG